GGGCCGGUUCUCCUGCCACUUCACGAAGGGAGGCGGGCCCUGGAGCUGCCGCAAGCCCUCCUGCUCCCACCCCCUCCAGCAGCCUGGGGGCUCCGAGGGGUGGGGGCUGCAGCCUGGUGCCCCUGGGGCUGGGAAGUCCCCUCUUGUUCCUGGCAGCAGCCAGACGGGCAGGAGCUGUGCAUCAAAAGGCCACUUGCUAGCCCAGCAACUUCCAGAUUGGCCUUGGUGGUGCCCCAGGGAAGGGCUGGGUGCUGCUCCCAGCUCCUGGUGCCAUGCAGGAACAGCUGACAUGGCCUCUUCUGGCUUGGCUCCUUCCUCCCGUUUCUCUCUGGUUUCUCUCCUUCAGGCGGUCAAUUUUAUUCUCCUUGUUUGUCUUUCUUGCAGAUUCUCCUCACCCCCAUCUUGAUUAUUCUGUUGGGCAUUUAACUUCUCAUUCCCUCCCCCUGCUCCCACACCGCGAAGGCUGAGUUAAGAGCUGCGGGAGCAAUGAAGAGAACCUCAGCAGGCAGGCUGCUGGCUGGGUUGGCAGCCGGUCCAUGUGCGCUGUGGUUACAGCCUGCUGCAUUAGUGGCUGUACUCAGGGAAGCAGGAACAAAGGAGUGUUCUUACACCUGGAAAAGCCUAUAUAAGGCGGAGGCCUCAUCUCCAUUUUGUCUUCAAUCCUGCUUCUUACCUCUGGAGGGACUUUGCUACAAACUGAAGCUCUACACAAAGGACUGAGGACCCAUCCCAGCUGGGGAUAUUCUCCAGAGACUUGAUUUGAACCUGCAGUUUACUCCAUCACUGCUACAAGUCUGAACUAAGAACUUUGCCAUUACUGUAUGUAAUUGAUUCCAUUUAACCAACUCUAGCUCUCAUCUCUAUCUUUUUCCCUUUAUGAAUAAACCUUUAGAUUUUA